UACUCCUACGGGAGGCAGCAGUGGGGAAUAUUGGACAAUGGACCAAAAGUCUGAUCCAGCAAUUCUGUGUGCACGAUGAAGGUUUUCGGAUCGUAAAGUGCUUUCAGUUGGGAAGAAGAAAGUGACGGUACCAACAGUAGAAGCGACGGCUAAAUACGUGCCAGCAGCCGCGGUAAU
rnacentral:rRNA from 1 species